AAGCGGAGGAAAAGAAACCAACAGGGAUUGCCUCAGUAACGGCGAGUGAAGCGGCAAGAGCUCAAAUUUGAAAGCUGGCCCCUUCGGGGUCCGCAUUGUAAUUUGCAGAGGAUGCUUCGGGAGCGGCCCCCAUCUAAGUGCCCUGGAACGGGCCGUCAUAGAGGGUGAGAAUCCCGUCUGGGAUGGGGUGCCCGCGCCCGUGUGAAGCUCCUUCGACGAGUCGAGUUGUUUGGGAAUGCAGCUCUAAAUGGGUGGUAAAUUUCAUCUAAAGCUAAAUACUGGCCGGAGACCGAUAGCGCACAAGUAGAGUGAUCGAAAGAUGAAAAGCACUUUGAAAAGAGAGUUAAACAGCACGUGAAAUUGUUGAAAGGGAAGCGCUUGCGACCAGACUCGCUCGCGGGGUUCAGCCGGCCUUCGGGCCGGUGUACUUCCCCGCGGGCGGGCCAGCGUCGGUUUGGGCGGCCGGUCAAAGGCCCUCGGAAUGUAACGCCCCCCGGGGCGUCUUAUAGCCGAGGGUGCCAUGCGGCCAGCCCGGACCGAGGAACGCGCUUCGGCUCGGACGCUGGCAUAAUGGUCGUAAGCGACCCGUCUUGAAACCACGGAC
rnacentral:rRNA from 1 species